rnacentral:rRNA from 1 species
UUGAGCGGAGAUAUAUGGAGCUUGCUUUAUAUAACUUAGCAGCGAACGGGUGAGUAACACGUAGAUAAUCUAUCCUAUACUGGGGGAUAGCCCGAUGAAAGUUGGAUUAAUACCGCAUAUAGCUAUAUAGUUGCAUGAUUAUGUAGUGGAAGAUUUAUUGGUAAAGGAGGAGUCUGCGGCACAUUAGCUAGUAGGUGAGGUAAAGGCUUACCUAGGCGACGAUGUGUAGCCGGUCUGAGAGGAUGAACGGCCACAAUGGAACUGAGACACGGUCCAUACUCCUACGGGAGGCAGCAGUGGGGAAUAUUGCACAAUGGGGGAAACCCUGAUGCAGCAACGCCGCGUGAGUGAAGAAGGUUUUCGGAUUGUAAAGCUCUGUUAGCAGGGAAGAGGAAGGACGGUACCUGCAGAGGAAGCCACGGCUAACUACGUGCCAGCAGCCGCGGUAAUACGUAGGUGGCAAGCGUUGUUCGGAAUAACUGGGCGUAAAGGAUGCGUAGGCGGUUAAACAAGUUAUAUGUUAAAUAUAUAGGCUUAACCUGUAGAAAGCAUAUAAAACUGUUUAACUAGAGUGCAGGAGAGGUAAGUGGAAUUCCUAGUGUAGCGGUGAAAUGCGUAGAGAUUAGGAAGAACACCAGUGGCGAAGGCGACUUACUGGACUGUAACUGACGCUGAGGCAUGAGAGCAUGGGGAGCAAACAGGAUUAGAUACCCUGGUAGUCCAUGCUGUAAACGAUGGGUACUAGGUGUGGGUUGUGAAUAACAAUUCGUGCCGUCGCAAACGCAAUAAGUACCCCGCCUGAGGAGUACGAUCGCAAGAUUAAAACUCAAAG